UAGGGAAUCUUCCACAAUGGACGCAAGUCUGAUGGAGCAACGCCGCGUGAGUGAAGAAGGUUUUCGGAUCGUAAAGCUCUGUUGUUGGUGAAGAAGGAUAGAGGCAGUAACUGGUCUUUAUUUGACGGUAAUCAACCAGAAAGUCACGGCUAACUACGUGCCAGCAGCCGCGGUAAUACGUAGGUGGCAAGCGUUGUCCGGAUUUAUUGGGCGUAAAGCGAGCGCAGGCGGAAUGAUAAGUCUGAUGUGAAAGCCCACGGCUCAACCGUGGAACUGCAUCGGAAACUGUCAUUCUUGAGUGCAGAAGAGGAGAGUGGAAUUCCAUGUGUAGCGGUGGAAUGCGUAGAUAUAUGGCAGAACACCAGUGGCGAAGGCGGCUCUCUGGUCUGCAACUGACGCUGAGGCUCGAAAGCAUGGGUAGCGAACAGG
rnacentral:rRNA from 1 species